UUGGCCUUCUCUGUGCUGAAUUAUUGUGCAGAGGUGUUGACUGACUUGUUGCAUAUAUGGGACAACGCUGUGUCCAAAAGUCCGCAAUAUAGUGAUGUGGCAUUCAGGAACAGUCCAAUUCUUCUGAAUGGCUCUUUACUUAGAAAAUAGGACUGGAGUGUCACUGAGAGCCGUUCUUUGUUGUUGUAAUGCUCUGCGUACACUGCAGUAGCUAUCAUUAUUU